rnacentral:rRNA from 1 species
CCUACGGGAGGCUGCAGUGGGGAAUAUUGCACAAUGGGGGAAACCCUGAUGCAGCAACGCCGCGUGAAGGAAGAAGGGUUUCGGCUCGUAAACUUCUAUCAAUAGGGAUGAAAAAAAUGACAGUACCUAAAUAAGAAGCCCCGGCUAACUACGUGCCAGCAGCCGCGGUAAUACGUAGGGGGCAAGCGUUAUCCGGAAUUACUGGGUGUAAAGGGAGAGUAGGCGGCAUGGUAAGUUAGAUGUGAAAGCCUCGGGCUUAACCUGAGGAUUGCAUUUAAAACUAUCAAGCUAGAGUACAGGAGAGGAAAGCGGAAUUCCUAGUGUAGCGGUGAAAUGCGUAGAUAUUAGGAAGAACACCAGUGGCGAAGGCGGCUUUCUGGACUGAAACUGACGCUGAGGCUCGAAAGCGUGGGGAGCGAACAGGAUUAGAUACCCUUG